rnacentral:rRNA from 1 species
UACGUAGGGCGCAAGCGUUGUCCGGAAUUAUUGGGCGUAAAGAGCUCGUAGGCGGUUUGUCGCGUCUGCUGUGAAAACCUGAGGCUCAACCUCGGGCUUGCAGUGGGUACGGGCAGGCUAGAGUGCGGUAGGGGUGACUGGAAUUCCUGGUGUAGCGGUGGAAUGCGCAGAUAUCAGGAGGAACACCGAUGGCGAAGGCAGGUCACUGGGCCGCAACUGACGCUGAGGAGCGAAAGCAUGGGGAGCGAACAGG